rnacentral:rRNA from 1 species
GAUGAACGCUAGCGGCAGGCUUAAUACAUGCAAGUCGAGGGGCAGCGCGGGGUAGCAAUACUCUGGCGGCGACCGGCAAACGGGUGCGGAACACGUACAGAACCUUCCUUCGAGCGGGGAAUAGCCCAGAGAAAUUUGGAUUAAUACCCCAUAGUAUAGCGGAGUGGCAUCACUCUGUUAUUAAAGAUUUAUCACUUGAAGAUGGCUGUGCGGCUGAUUAGGUAGUUGGCGGGGUAACGGCCCACCAAGCCUGCGAUCAGUAUCUGGUGUGAGAGCACGACCAGUCACACGGGCACUGAGACACGGGCCCGACUCCUACGGGAGGCAGCAGUAAGGAAUAUUGGUCAAUGGACGAAGGUCUGAACCAGCCAUGCCGCGUGAAGGAUGAAGGUCCUCUGGAUUGUAAACUUCUUUUAUAUGGGACGAAAAAAGGCUUUUCUAAGUCGUCUGACGGUACCAUUUGAAUAAGCACCGGCUAACUCCGUGCCAGCCGCCGCGGUAAUAC